AAGCGAGUCUGAAUAGGGCGAAUGAGUAUGUAGUCGUAGACCCGAAACCAUGUGAUCUACCCAUGUCCAGGUUGAAGGUGCGGUAAAACGCACUGGAGGACCGAACCCACGUACGUUGAAAAGUGCGGGGAUGAGGUGUGGGUAGCGGAGAAAUUCCAAACGAACUUGGAGAUAGCUGGUUCUCUCCGAAAUAGCUUUAGGGCUAGCCUCGGAAUUGAGAAUGAUGGAGGUAGAGCACUGUUUGGACUAGGGGCCCAUCUCGGGUUACCGAAUUCAGAUAAACUCCGAAUGCCAUUCAUUUAUAUCCGGGAGUCAGACUGCGAGUGAUAAGAUCCGUAGUCGAAAGGGAAACAGCCCAGACCACCAGCUAAGGUCCCAAAAUAUAUGUUAAGUGGAAAAGGAUGUGGGGUUGCACAGACAACUAGG
rnacentral:rRNA from 1 species